GUUCUGCGUGGUCUAAAUUUAAUUGACUGAAGAUAAAAAGCGUUAUUACAGAUCUGUCACUGCAGCCGCUCUUCAUCUGUUUCACUAGCUGGAAUGAGCAGUCGCUGGGUUUGUUUCUGACCUGAUUCACGGUGAUGUAAAGCAGCAGUGAUUUCACAGAAGAGGAAACAGCUUCAGCUGGCGAGAAAGCAGAACUGCGCUCACCGCUGCUCCAGCAGCGCGCAUUUCCAGUGGUUGCUGACCGUACACAACAGCACUGGGCUACUUAGUGUGGAGAACCCAGAAAAAAAAUCACGCUCUCUUCGCUUCUGGACUGAACGAGCUGCUGAAUAAAAAAGAAAAUAGCAUCACUUGGAGGAAAAAUAAAGCAGGAAUGGGGAGGGGUUCCUAGUGUGGAAUCUUGAUUUGGAACUCUGCAAGCACAUUCAUGUGAAGCACUCAUGCAUCUUCGAAAAACCCAUCUUAAAAUACCACAAGGGAGAAAAAGCUGAUGAGUGACGGACAUUGACCCCUACCUGGAAGGCUU